UGUUAUAACUGACUAUCAAUGUUUAACGGAUUUUAAACAUAAUUUGUAGAUCGUCAUUAAACAGCUCCACAAGCCCCAAGAUAGGCGUAGCCAAAAAGGGGACGAUCCCAGACGUGAGUUUGGUUCAAAGAUACGGCUGGUAGAACCGCGGAUAAAGUUGAACAUAAACGUUCAUAUGUUGAAAACUGAAUUAAAUCAAAUACAGACAUUGAGAAAAGGUCUGCGUACUUAUUGUUUUAGUUAAACGAAUUUUGUAAUUUACAUGAAAAAUAAUUGUGAAAAAUUAACUUGGUGAUCUACUUAAUAUGAUGGUAAAAUCUCAGAAGAUUUACCAUGUUACCAAAGAGUGAAGGGUUCAAGGCGGUGCCUAUGACUCGAAAAUAGGGAUAGAAUCAAUGAGUAUCCCCAUGGUGGUAGAACAAAUCGUAUUCAUAUCUCAAUCUGGGUUUUAGGUAUGUACUAACGUUGAGUGUCGCCUCUAGUCAAACCCAGAUUAUUAUUUUUGUAGUUCUAUUCCUGUUAUUAUUGUCACCUUAUUAAUACAACUAUUACCGUUAUUGUCGCACCUUGAUCCUUGACAUUCCUUCUCAGUUACAUUACUAUUAUUCGAGCUACCUAAGAAGAAAACCCACCACACUUCAGUAUCGAGAGGCUUAAGGGUCUGGUCAACAUAACCGUAAACUAAUUAUUAAUGAAGGAAUGUCUAAUGUCAACAAAUGCAAGAAAUGUGUUUCCCACUGAUAAUAAAAUCUAAACUUAUUAUAGCAAUAAGCUUCUUCACCUUAUACACAUUCAGCUAUUAAUCUAUUUAAUCCACUUUUCUUUCUUUUAAUCUUUCCUCAGCCGAGCGAAAGUCGUCCCUAGGAAAGGACUGGCACGCAUUUUGCCUCAAGUGUGAAAAGUGUAACAAGACACUUACUCCAGGAAGCCACGCUGAGCAUGAAGGCAAGCCUUACUGUACCACACCUUGCUACGGAGCACUGUUUGGCCCCGGCGGCUACGGCCGUGGCGGCACUCAGAGUUUCGUCUACGACAAAAAAUAGGAUCGUAGAGCGAGCGCAUUUGCUAGAUCCAAGGGAUAUGCUUUUCAUCACUCGCUGAUCUUACCUAAUGCCCGCACAUUCUACUAGUAAUUCAAACACAUAUUACCAGUGACUUUAUUCUCCUACCGGGGUAUCUGUCAACUUGUAACUGCCUUCUAUUUUUUUAGUACAAAUUAGUUCAGUUUGUUUGCGACUAUGUAAAUAUCCCUUGAAUAAAUAUAAAACAUA